CUGCCGCGGUGCUCGGCCGUCGGAGCCGCGUGUACGUGGCCUGUUUCAUGCACGGCUGAGAUGCGGGCGGUGCCGGGGGAGGCCUCGUGCUCUUGAUACCGCGCCUCCCAGCUGAGCAGCGCUGAGUCGUUUUAGUCACUCGCCAGCCACCCUGUAACCCGCCUCGUGGGCCGAGGAUUUCCUUGACCUGAGCUGUCAGGUUUUGAGCUGAGUCCCCUCUUGCCUCUCGUGCCUGGAGAAAGCAGCCCCUGCGUGCCAGUGAAGAAAAAAGCAAGGAGAAAACGCCUGAGGAGAGCAAAGAAGAUGAACACCCUUUGUUAUGAACACAAGAAGUGUUGCAAGAGAAAAAGAGCGUCAAAGAGUAAAAUCAAACUAUUUUAUGAUGUGUGGCAUCAGUGACAUGUGGAGAUUUAAUAUUGUGUGCCAGUUAUUUAUUAUCUGAUUCUAGUUCUAUUGUUCUUCCAGUAUAGAGCUUUAAUAAUAAAACAUUUCCAUGGUGUUCAUUUCUGUCCUGUCCUGUCAGGCUGAACUUUCUUCUGUUGCUUGGUGUAAUUAAAUGAGAAGAUCACUGCUGUAA